AUCAAAAUGACCCUGAGGUGGUGUCCAGCGUUAUACUUUCCAGUGAAGAAUGCUAAGAUCAAAAAAACUCAUGUGAAAGCAUAUGUUGUAUACUGAUGGGAUUCGGUUUGAUGGAAAUAUAAUCUCAAGAAUAAUUAAUAAAACCAGUGCUUCUUACGGACCAUCAGGAUGAAGUACCAAGUUCAAGGACAGUUCUGCAAGAACUGCUCAAAGCCAGCCAAGUGGAACAAGAAGAAAGCCAAGCAGAAGUCAUUCAUUCCCAGCACCCUCAGCACCUUUCUCCAGGACAGGGUCACUCAGCUUUGGUAGAAGAAGGGAUGACCUGAGAUAGCUGCCACAUAUUCCCUCAGAAAAGAAGCAGCCAGCAAUAUUGGGGAAAGAAUAUAGGUGUCAGGGGGCAGAAAGCAGAGUGUAAAGUGAAUAAAUAAAAAGAUAUCAAUAAAAAAUAUUUAAUUAUUUAAAAAAAUUGGACAGAAUGUAUUGUUCUAGUAACUCUAGUGUGUAUACACAGGCAAUAACUUUAACACCCAGAGAGAAUAGAUGUUGUAAAGUAGGGUGCCUUUGGUAUUGACAUAAACUAGGAACAUAGCAAAGAUAAAUAAAAAAGAAAGAUGUUUGUCCCAUAGAUCCAUUAUUCUCCUCAAGUCGAAGUGUUUGUGCUCACUUUUACCAGAACUCUGGAAACCUCUGUUAAUCCAGGUCUCAGGGCUCAUCCAAAGUACAGUCCUGAACUGGCUGUGGCCAAGGGUUCCUGUGUUGUUGGCUGACCUCUGCCUCAGGCUUCAGAGGCACUGGAGGGGCAGUUUUGGCCUUCAGGUGGCAGCCAUUCCAGGUCCCCUACCAUACCAGAUAUCGAGUCUUCCACAGAUGCCUGACAUCUCAAAAAUAGAAGCUUGGGUAUUUCAAAGAUUGGAAUGGCACUCUACAGUCAUGAUGAGUUGAUUAUGUGAGACCAUACAAGUUAACUAAUGUCUGUAUGACUGUUUUCUUUAUUUGAAAGUGAGUAAUGAGAUCAUCUCAGGAGUGGUUGCUAAGAAUAAAAUCACUGAUUAACAUAAAUGAUAGGACUGUACAGAGCAUGGGCUUAAUAUUCUGGGUCCAGUGCAAAUAGCUGGGAGAGUUCAAAACAAAACCAAUAAAAGCAACAGGAAUACAAACAACAACAAUUGUUUAAAACCCUUUUGAGUGCUGAGAUUACUGGCAUGUACCAACUGUGGCUAACUUUUUUUGUUUUAUAAUUAACAACCAAACAUACAAACAAACAAACAUCCCUAUUCCAAUUCCAGCAGUUUGCAUCAGAGAGAGCUGUGUGACACUGCAUGCUGCUUCCUUUCCUCAGAUAGCUCAGGUCGUCAGUCCUAUACCAGGUCAGCUGGACCUAAGACAGUGUAGUUGAACUACUUGCUGUCACGACAUGAUUCUACAACAAUCCUUUUCUUGGUAAAAUUGAGCCUCUAUAGAGUAAGCCCCAUGUUGUUGGAACCAGGACCCUUUAGGCCAGCAAACACACAAGCCACCCUUAGUGAAAGAGAAAA